UACGGGGGGGGCAAGCGUUGUUCGGAAUUACUGGGCGUAAAGGGCUCGUAGGCGGCCAACUAAGUCAGACGUGAAAUCCCUCGGCUUAACCGGGGAACUGCGUCCGAUACUGGAUGGCUUGAGUUUGGGAGAGGGAUGCGGAAUUCCAGGUGUAGCGGUGAAAUGCGUAGAUAUCUGGAGGAACACCGGUGGCGAAGGCGGGUCUCUGGGCCGAUACUGACGCUGAGGAGCGAAAGCGUGGGGAGCGAACAGG
rnacentral:rRNA from 1 species